AGCAUUGCCCCCGGCAGAAAUGCCGGGGGCAAUGUUUGAAUUC
rnacentral:antisense_RNA from 1 species